GAUGAACGCUGGCGGCGUGCCUAACACAUGCAAGUCGAGCGAUCUUCUUCGGAAGAGAGCGGCGGACGGGUGAGUAACGCGUGGGUAACCUGCCUCAUACACAUGGAUAACAUACCGAAAGGUAUGCUAAUACAAGAUGAUAUAAGAGAUUCGCAUGGAUUUCUUAUCAAAGCUCCGGCGGUAUGAGAUGGACCCGCGUCUGAUUAGCUAGUUGGUAAGGUAACGGCUUACCGAGGCGACGAUCCGUAGCCGACCUGAGAGGGUGAUCGGCCACAUUGGAACUGAGACACGGUCCAAACUCCUACGGGAGGCAGCAGUGGGGAAUAUUGCACAAUGGGCGAAAGUCUGAUGCAGCAACGCCGCGUGAGCGAUGAAGGCCUUCGGGUCGUAAAGCUCUGUCCUCAAGGAAGAUAAUGACGGUACUUGAGGAGGAAGCCCCGGCUAACUACGUGCCAGCCGCCGCCGUAAAAC
rnacentral:rRNA from 1 species